ensembl:lncRNA
UUGAUAUUUUGUUCAAAUAAUUCACAAAAAUACUCUGCUCUCAUGGAUAUCAAACAAUUGCAAACACAACACAGGUUUAUAAAAAUAUAUAUCUUUGUUAAAUAUAGUUGUGCAACAAUUAUUGGCACCCCUAUGAAUUCAUUUGAGAAAAAAAAGUAUAUUCUCAUUGAUAUUUUACAUUUUUAGUACACCUGGGUGACUAUGAACAGGUAAUUGUUCAACAAAGCUGGAAAAUUGCAGAAGUUAGUUGCGUCUUGCGGUCAGAAAGUCUCCAAAACUGCAAUCCGAAGUCACCUACAUCACCACAAGUUGUUUGGAAGGGUUUCAAGAAAAAAGCCUCUACUCUCCUCCAAAAACAAACUUGAGCGUUUUCAGUUUGCCAGACACUACUGGAACUUAAAAUGGAAUUGGGUUCUAUGGUCAGAUGAAACCAAAAUAGAGCUUUUUGGUAAUAAACACCAGAGGUGGUUUUGGUGCGCACAGAGAGGUAGCCAUAUGGAAAAGUACCUCAUGCCCACGGUUAAAUAUGGUGGUGACUCUUUUAUGUUUUUGGGGCUGUUUUUCUGCCAGAGGACCUGGACAUUUUGUUAGGAUACAUGGCAUCAUGGACUCUACCAAAUAUCAACAGAUAUUAAAUGAAAACCUUACUCGCUCUGCCAGAAAGCUAAAAUGGUCCGUGGUUGGCUCUUCCAGCAGGACAAUGAUAUAAAACAUACAUCAGAAUCAAGACAAAAAUGGUUUACUCACCACAAAAUCAAGGUCCUGCCAUGACCAUCCCAGUCCCCUGACCUGAACCCCAUAGAAAAUCUGUGGGUGAACUGAAGAGGAGAGUCCACCAGCGUGGACCUCGAAAUUUGAAGGAUCUGGAGAGAUUCUGUGUGGAGGAAUGGUCUCAGAUCCCUUGUCGUGUAUUCUCCAACCUCAUCAGGCAUUAUAGGAGAAGACUCAGAGCGGUUAUCUUGGCAAAGAGGUAGCACAGAGUAUUGACUAAAAGGGUGCCAAUAACUGUUGCACACCUACAUUUAACAAAAAUUUUUUUGUUUUUUUAACAAAAAUUUUUUUAAAACAUUUUUUUAUAAACCUGUGCUGUGUUCGCAAUUGUUUGAUAUCCAUGAGAGCAGUGUAUUUUUGUGAAUUUUUUUAACAAAAGAUCAAAACGUUAAACAAUAAAGACAAUUUUUCACAGCAUUCUUUGCUCAAAUUUACCAAGGAUGCCAAUAUUAAUGGAGGGCACUCUAUCCUAUCUAUAUAUCACCUCUCCCCCACCAUAUUUCAAAAACAAAAUAUACAGUUUAAUAUUUAGGCAUCCAGCUCAGAUUAUAUGCUGUUAAUAAAAGUCUGGAAAAAAGGAUUAUUUGAGAUUUCUUCUCAACUAAGCGCAACAUCACCACCACUGGUCAUUAGAAAUAUACAGAGAACAGUAUGAAGACUUGAGUCUGGGACUGAUUUCUUUCUAUCCCAGACUAUAGUUUCUUGCACCUUCUCAGUGAUUGUCGUUUCAGUUGAUUACACUUAGUGAAACAGAUUUGAUCUCCAUCUUCAGCCUGCUUCGAUGAAACAUCCGUAACACAGUAUCAGAAGUGGUUGUUAAGACGCAGGUGAAAUACAGUCUCGGCUGUAAAGAACAUGAACAUAGUGCAUCCCUUUUCCCCCAAAAAAUGCCUUUGUAGGAAAAAAAAAAAGUAAAUUAAGCUCACAUUGUUGAAUCAAAGUACAAAUUACACAAAACGACAGACAACAGAACUGUAAGUUUAGUGCAUCUUGGAGGUUUCUGUUUGUUUUUAAUAGAAGGCGUUGCAGCUUUUCCAUUUCGCAUUUUCGGUAUUCAGAGGAAAUACAGAUUUACAGACUAUUUACAAAUACUUAAAUUAUAAAUCAUGAAUACAGCUACCAAUUUGUCUUUGAGUGUGUGUAAUAGUUCCUUAUUAUAGCAUCAGUGAGACCCUGAGAGAUAACAUUACUCAGGCUUCAUUGUCGAUGUAUUAAUACCUAUAAUGCAGAAAAGAUGGGGUCGGCUUUCAUUACAUUACUUUACAUUACAUUCAGCAACUUUAACACUACCUUUAAAAACUACCAGUAUGGCAAAACACCUAAAUAUCUACAGUAUAUCUGCAGUUUAUUAUGAUUAUUAUAUAGUUUAACAAACUAUUGUGUUGUUUUGCGAUAAAUAAAAGAUGCAUCUUGCGUAUUUAAUAAUUGUUAAGUGAUAUAACCACUUGAAGGAGGGAUUUUUUAAAAAAGUCAACAAAAAAACUCAGUUUAGAAGAGAAAGCUUUAGCAGCUCCGCUAGCUACAAUCUAAUUAGAUAUGAAACCAUUCAGAUUUCUAACACAGCAAACCUAGCCUCUAGUGUAUGUGCAGUUUAAUAAUGUGUGAUAUAAUACUAACAAUUAAUUCGAUCAUUUAUUUUCGGUAGCCACUAUCCUGGAACCGGAGCCCGGCGUGAGGUGGGGAUACACAUGAGAUGGUACAUCUGUGCAUCACAGCGCACCAACCAUACACACUGUCACGCACACCUAGGCACAAUUUUGUGUAAUCCAUCCACGGAUGGGUAUGUUUUUGGAUUUUUGGACAGUCAGAGGAAACCAGAGAACAUGCAAAGCUCCACAAAGACAGUAACCCGAGCUCAGGAUCGAACCGGGAAAGUUCUGAUAUAGCAAAUGGUCCAGAAGCAGAAGAACAAUCAGUUCAGGUGGUACAGUCCCCUCUGUACCUACUGGAACGGCAAGGCAAAUUAAUUUGUUUGUGCUGUACACCAAAAACAUUUGGGUUUUAGAUCAAAAGAUGGAUAUGAGAUGAGGGAUUAGGAUUUCAGCUUUUAUUUCCUGGUAUUUACAUCUAGACGUGUUUAAACAACAUAACCUUUUGCAUCAGACCACCCAAUUUUUAGGCAAGCAAAAGUAUAGGAAAAGAUAAGUCAUGAAGUUGGUUUCUUCUUUUGUGAUGAUUUUUCAGGCUUUUACCGCAGCUUCUUUCAGUUGUUUGUUGUCGUGAGGUUUCUCUCUUCAGGAGGUUCUAAAUCCUUCCACUUUCCCCCCACUGAUGAAGUCCUUUGUUGAGUUGGCAGUGUGUUUUGGAUCAUUGUCUUGCUGCAUGAUAAAAUUCCUCCUUAUUAAUCUUCAUUCAUUUCUCUGUAAAUUGGCAGACAAAUGUUCCUGUAAACUUCUGAAUUCAUUCUUCUGCUACCAUCACAAGUGACAUCAUCAAUAAAAAUUAGUGAGACUGUUCCAGAAGCAGACAUGCAAACCCAAUCCAUAACAGUUCCUCCACCAUGUUUCACAGAUGAGCUCGUAUGUUUUGAAUUAUGAGCAGAUCCUUUCUUUCUCCACACUUUGAACUUUCAAUCACUUUGGAAGAGCUUAAUCUUGGUUCCAGAACUUUUGUGGCUCAUGUCUGUAUUUCUUUGUGAAUUCCAACCUGGCUUUCUGAUUCUUACUGCUGAUGAGUGGUUUACAUCUUGUGGUAUGGCCUCUAUAUUUCUGCACUUGAAGUUUUCUUCAAAUGGUGGAUUGAAAUACCUUUACCCCAGCCCUGUGGAGGUUGUUGGUGAGGUCACUAACUGUUGUUUUUGGGUUUUUCUUCACAGUUCUUACAAUGUUUGUCAUCAGCUGUUGUUCUUUUCCUUGUCCGACCCAUUCAGUGGUGUCUGUUGCUCAGUACAACAGUGGUUUCUUUCUUUUUCAGGACAUUCCAAGUUGUUCUAUUGGCUAUGCCCAGUGUUUGUGCAGUGACUCUGAUGGAUUUUUCUCCCAUAGACAGCUCUGUGAUCUUCAUGUUAGUUUAUCCUUUUUAACAACAAAUGCAGUCUUCACAGGAGAAACUGAAAGCUAAAACCAAGAGUAGAUGCUCAGAGCUAUUUAUUGUUUAAGCAAGCAAUCAAUCAAUCUAACAGGACACACCUGGGUAACAAGGAAACACCUGUCAGUCACAUGUUCCAGUAUUUUUUGCUCACCUACAAAAUUUUGUAAUCUGAUAUAAAGUGUGCUGUGUUCUAUAUUGUUGAAGACAUUUACAUAUAAAUAUCAGGAAAUAAAAGCUAAAAUUCAAAACUCUCUUCUCAUAUUCAUCUUUUGACCUCAAACCCAAAUGUCUUAAGUCUACAGCAAAAACAAAUGAAUUUUCCUUUUCUUUCCAAUAGUGUCGAAGGGGACUGUAUAUAGCUUUUUGCUAAAGCUUGACAUUUAUAUUAGAGCCGAGUGACAAAAUGGUAUGGUUCGGUAAAGAAAAAAGCGGUGAGAGGCAAUAACCACAGAGUUCCUACAAUUUUCAUUACAAAGUCACUGAUGUAAUUUAUUUUUUUAAGCCUUUAGAUUGUAUUGACAGCGGGAAUAUUUCAUUUGUUGGGAAUUCCAACAAUCUGAUCUGGUAAAAUCACAUUAAAUCACAAGAAACUAAACAACGGUCAUCAAAAAACAAAAAGAAAACUACUGUACAGCGUUCUCCACAUUUAUCUCUCACACCACUGCGUUUAUACUUGUGUACACGUCAAUAUUAUCAAAAAACACAUUUCAUUUCACUUUCCUUCCUAGAAACUAUGUAAAUAACAUUUAGUGACUUUUUUUUGUUUGUUUUAAAAUACAAAUCAAAAACCAUCAGCGUACACGAUGUAAAAGGCCGAAGCCUGGUUAAGACCAUACAAAAUUUAAAAUGCUAAAACAAUAUAAAAGAAACUACUUCAAGCUUUUCAAUGUGUUAUGGAGUGAAAGGGAUUCACGUUUCGGGGUUUAGGAGUUCAGAAAAUGCGACGUUAUUCCUAUACAUAAAUAAAGGAAUGAGCACAGAACUACUGAUCCACAGAACGGUGAAACAAGCGAGUCCUCUUCUCGUUUCUUCUGUUAAAUCUGGGAAGAGAAAACACAUUGUUAUACAGAGAAAGUGUGAGUGCUGGAGUGUGAGACCUGCGACACUCACUCGUGUGCGAGACGUGUUGUGUUGUGUGUGACUACUGCCAGGCUCUCAGUGUGGACGCUCGUCCUCCUCGCUCAGCUCUCUGUCUGCAUGAAGGGAAACAGAGCGUGAAAUUGUCCCUAAUUGAGACGAAGCAGCUUUACAGUAAUGUACAUUUAGAUCCUUAAUGAGCAUAACAACGGCGUUAGUUGAAAGUGGAAAACUGUGGAAACGGUGGAAAGGAAAAACUCUCCGAGAAGACAUGAGGAACAACCCAUGAGAGGAACCAGGCCUCAAAAUGGAACCUACUCUGGGUUGACACUGGAUAGUGUAAUUAGAAAACACUAUAAAAGACAGUCUGUCUGAGUGUGUUUACGGGAUGUUCAGUAUGCGCGGAUGAGAGAAUAAGGGUCAUGGGAUGAGCACACGACAGCAUUUAUGAGUACAGCAGCAGCUCUUAGAAAGUAUACACUAAGUGUACAGUAUCCAGGGAAGACAUUAUUCACUCUUUCUCUAGCCGUUUGACUUGCUGUACAACACUUCAGUUCAUUUUCACUUCCUUCUCACACUUCAGUUCAGUUUUAAAGAGUGAAUAAUUCAAUUCCAUGCAAAUGUCAAGGAGAAAAAAAGGAAAAGUUGCGAGCACAGGAAACAAAAAUAACUUUUAAAAUGCUCACUCAUGUCUUUCACCCCUGCUGAAAAAACCCAAUAGAAACAGUCAUAUAAUAUGUAAUUGUUCUAAUGAGAAUUGCACUGAUUUUAAUGGAAGCUGUAAUGGGUCUCUACUGGUAAUCUGUUGCCUUCUAUUGGUGGCAUAUUAUGUCUAGUGGAUACCAUUAAGGAUCAAAAAGCUUCUUUAGGUUAAUAGCUGACGGUUUGUAAUGGUAUUUGUAUUGGAAACCAUUAGAAUGUCUGGGGACAUCUUUGCACAACGUAACUUCUUUGGUUAAAUUAUCAACACGGUGGGGUUUUUUUUUUUUUUUUUUUUUUUUAUACAGCACAUAUUUCACACACAAAGGCAAUUAAAAGUGCUUUACAUAAGUACAUUUAAAAAUGAAGACACUCGUAAGGAAAACUGCAUCGUUUAUACGCGAGAUAUAUGGAGUACUGUUUCAGACGUGUCACAUCCGUAUCGCAAACAAUUCACAUAUGGAUAUGGCAUAUGUUUUUUUUCCCUCUUAAUGAUGUCAUAAGAGCGUGGGCGGAGUCAAGUAUCAGAGGAGGCGGGUUGAAACAUCAGCAGGUAACACGUGAUUAUUCUCACCUGUGUGGUGUCACGGAGCGGUUACUUACAUGUGCUUCGUUUGUCCUUAAAGACCUGACGUGAGCCAGAGAGAGGCGGUACUGUCAGCAUCGGCACAACCAGUUACGAAAUGAAAACUAAACGGAAAGCGAAGAGGUGCCAAUAUCCGCCCGUCUCCUUCCUACAUUUCUACAGAUGUAUUCCUAAAACAAGAAUCUCUAUAUAUUUUUUGUUCUAGUUCACGUCUUGUUCUAAAUACGAUGUGCUCUGCGAUGGUCUUUAAAAAUUUGUUGAAAAUGUUUAGUCUCCUACAAAAGUUUGUCCAUUUAAAGUUUGUUAAAAAAUAAAAAAAAGAUUUCUCUGCCUUAUCCUCAACACAUGCACACAGACCCAUUGAUCCUAAACUUGUCACUUAUGCGAGACAUUUUGUUAGCCAACGUGAGUGUAAACGUCACAUACGUAACGCUGGAGUCAUCCUAAUUAGACGUCAGAACAGCACUCGGACCGAGACUCACCUUGUUUGACUGUGUCCUCUUCUCCGUUAGCUCUCUUUCUAAACUUAUCCUUCACCUUCGCUGCUUUCACUUUCCUCACCAAGGGCUCGUCGUCUGAACUGGCAUCUGCAUAGAGCAGGCCUGCUCUGGCUGUACUUUUCUGCUCUUGGCUGUGUGCACGUCCGCGUGCCACUGCAUCCUUAACGUCUCUUUCAGACAUCCUCUCCACCAGCACCACCGCCUGCUUCAUCUCUGGCUCGCUCCUCUUCCACGGCAGCUCGCUCAAGGGCUCGUCAUCCGAGCUGUCGCUACACGGGGCUGCGUACAAACAUAAUGGAAAAACGUUCAAUUACAUUUAUAUCCGUUUUCAUUCAUUUAAUUAAAAUAGCCCAGAACAUCAUAAUCUAUGUACAAUAUGAAUUCUACAUCUCGAUAGUUCUAGUGGUAUUAAAAAUGACAGGAUUUAUGAACACACACUACCGGUCAAAACUUUGUGGACACUCGACUGAAAUGUUUCUCAUGAUCUUAAAAACCUUUUGAUCUGAAGGUGUAUGAUUAAAUGUUUGAAAUCAGAGUUGUAGACAAAAAUAUAAUUGUUUCAUUUCUUUCAUUAGAAAACUAACAUUUUAUUUACAAAAAAAUAUUUUGUUUAAACGGACGACUCGGAGCAAAAUAUUCUGAAAAGCAGCCAAUAAGAGUCCAACGUAGGUGGGAACGCCUUUAAUACUGUUUAAAAAGCAUCUCAGGGAAAUUCCUCAAGAAAUCAGUCCAGAAAACGCCAAGAAUACAUUUCUGGAAAUUCUAGACAAAAACUGGGUCUACUUUGAAGAUGCUAAAAUACUAAAUUAUUAUUAUUAUUAUUAUUAUUAUUAUUAUUAUUAUUUUUCCAUCACAACAUAAUUCCCAUAGUUCCAUUUGCGUUACUCGAGAGUUUUGAUUACUUUUAUUAUUAUUCUAAAAUGUGGAAAAAUUUUCCCUCGUGCCAUCCAACACAACUACUCGGCUAGCUAAAGAGGGGGGGAAAAAAAAAAAAAACUUCGCUAGCUAGCAAGCAGGUUCUGUAGGGUUCCGGUUACCAAAUUUGUGAGCAUAUAAUUUUCAUAUCAGAUCGUGAUAGGUUCGAGUCAUCAUUAUUUGCCAUGGUUUACUAUAUCAAGUGAAAAUAUAGGCAAAAUAAUAAUUUUUUGUCCUUUCCAGGGUUGAAACUGUCUCAUUUUAUUGGCAACUAAAUUUGUGUUUUAAUUUCUGAAAAUAAAAUGAUCCUACCAAGACAAGACUGAACAAUAAAACCUUGUUCUUUUGUGUUUUACUUCUGCCCAUGUCUCUGUUCGCUUCAGAACUUGGGACUGAAAACACAAUCUAACAGCCGCGUACCUUUUCCUUCUUUCUUGGCGCGACCUCUCCUUUUAGGCGUCGUGUUCACAGCUGGUGAAUGUGCCGGUACUUUCUUUUUCGACUCGUCCUUACCUAUGAGAAAAACAAACCUUCGCUGUGCAAGAUGUUCGUCCGCUAAUCUACAGAACCGUGCUGAAUAUUACACACACAAAAAAGCGCACCUUGAUCGAUGGUUUCAAAUUUACCUGACACUUGUGUACGACGCUGCACCUGCUACACUCGUCCCAGCACCACACCGCCACUGUACAUUCGAAUUAACUUGGAAUUGGGAAGUUGGAGCUUAACGGAUCUAAAGCAAAUACUAGUAAAGGAACGAAGUGCUACUUUGUUUACUGUUGACGCUGUGAGCAGUCGUGUUGAUUCGACAUCACUCGCUGAAUUUCAGGAGACCUUUAAGACUAGGAAUUCAGAGUUGAGGAGGCGUUUACUUCUUUUUUUUUUUUUUUCUACACUUAUGUCAGAAACACAGCGUUACGCGGCAUAUCAUACCAGUGACACUGUGCUAACAAUCUGCUCAGUGCUCGUCCCUAACUGAUGGAGAAAGAAGAAGAUAAUACCAACAGAUGAGCUCAGAAUUUGGUCCUACAGAAUGACCCAAUAUGGUAAGUUAACCUGAUAAAAUGGUGAAGUGUGUAAGCACAAGGGGAGCUGUUGCUAAUAAACUGGCAACCAAGUGCAAAUUAAGGUCAUCCUUUAUAGAGGUAAAUGUACACAUGUCUAGGUGCCAUGUCAUUGUUCGGUAUUAGUAUUAUCGGCUCCUUUAACGGAGCUUGGGCUGGAUAUUUAAGCAACUUUGGAUAAAGUAAAUAAAUGAAAAUGUCUAUAUUUUUUUUGGAUUUUUCAAUCUGAAGAUUUUUUUUCUUCAGAUUGAACAUAGAUCGCGAGUUCAAAUCCUGACAGCACUGCAGCUGUCCUUAACCGGGAGCUACGACAACCGACAAAAUCGGCCGUGCUAUCUGGGAUGAGGGAUGGCGUUACUUUCUCUCAUCUGUCAAUCACAGCAGCAAUAGUCAAUCAUGGGUAUCUGUGAGCUCAUGUAUGUGGAAGAGGGCAGAGAGCGCUGUCCUCCAAGCAUGAUGGUCCAUUGCAUCGGUGGGAUAAAGUCCAGAACAAACUGAUAAUUUUCCUUCCCAAUCAUCGAUCAGGUUUUGUAAUUUGUUUAAGAGCGAGAAAAAUCACCAGACAGCACUUUAUACACUAACGAGUGAUAAACCGGCAGCUGUUUUUAAGAAUCGGCCUACGUUUACACCAUUUUGAAAAUCCAAAACGUUACAUCUUUCAGCGUCUUUACACAGCACAGAGACAUCACCAUACUACAAAAGAAAAUACAUGUUUUAAUCGCAUCUAAUCAUCAUUUCUCAUAACUCAUGCUCGAAUUGGUGACAAAAUGUUAAAAAGUCAUGACGCCGCCUCCCAAACCCCUGACGUUACUGGUUCUUGGUUCCAGACCUGUAGCGUUUUCAUUCAGAACUCAAACUGUGGAAAAGCACUGAACUGCUCAAGACCUGAAAACCAUCACCAGCAACUUGACUUCAGGUAUGCAGGAUUUAUUAAGGUUGUUAUACCUCCCACUUCUGAGGGCAAGCAGGAGGUUUAUCAGUAAUAAAUAACCUCGUAAUUCUAAUUUAACCAAAAUACACACAGCGUGGCCACUUUCCUCACGAGUGUACAUUUAAAUUGUUUAAACCUGACUGCAAAUGGUUCCGCUGUAAUGAAGCAGGACUCGUAAUCGCUACCUUUUUGUCCUCUUCUCUGUGUGGCCUUCACUGGCGACGGCGAUGGCGAGGGUCAUUUAACAUGUUUGCAGAACCUCACUAUAUAAUUUCAAAGCAGAUUAACCGACUAAAUUCAAAAUGAUACAACAUGUAACUAAACACUCAUAUCUAUCCCCAAGGUUGCUUCCUAAAACGUGCCAAGCUCACAAUUAGGCCUUAAUGCAGGAAGCUAAGCUAGCUAUUUAGCUCCGUAUAGUAACAGCACUCAAUUCUAGCGCUACUUCUUUAAAAAAACAUCUCUCUCAUUUGUUUUGUUUUUUUAAACACUAGUUUAUUGUCUACAUAUAAUCGCAUGAAUCAUAAACGUUUCCAUAACCAGGACAGAAAUGUUGACGCAUAAUCCACACAAACGACGCCGCCAUACAUUCAAAGGAUGCCUUCAUGCGCGUUACAAAUGCGCAACAUUUGCGCAGAUACACACCAAUCAGCCAUAAUAUUAAAACCACCUACCUGAUAUUGUGCAGGUCCUUCUUGGGCCACCCAAACAUCUCCAAGCAUGGACUCCACGCUGAGACACAAGGUGUGUGGUGUUAACUUAAUGCAUUUAAGCAUUGACUUUUUCA